GAUACAUUUCGGAUUACACAUUCAUUUGAUUUUAUCUUUAUUAUGAUUUGAAUAUUAUGUUAAAUAUUAUUAUUAUUUUAAAUAUUAUGAUCAGUAAACGUAAUGCUGAGCCCUUGCCGAAGUGGAGAUCCACCUCACCUGGGAGUUUCUAGUGAUCCCAGUGUGAGAAGAUCCUCAGCAAAAAAAAAAAGCAUAGCAUAUAAAUAACCAAGUGGUCGAACUUGAAUAUUCAUCAUACAUUCGUUUAGCUAUUGACAAAAGGUUUCAUUACAUUUUCUACAUUCCAAAUUGAAAUAUAAGCUCGAGAACUUCCGGCAUGGACGAAGCCAAUUUCCCAAAUGCAGAAAGUGCUCUUUCUCUAGGUUUUUCUAGAGUAUUUUGUCUGAUGGGGCCAGGUGCUUGAUGGCACACGUCUGGUAUGUUAAUGUGCAGAUUCAUGCAGUUAAGGCAUUUAAGAGCAGAUGAAAGAUGAGAGGAAUCUGUUUGAUUGUUCAAAAGGGCAACGGCUGGCAAAUGUUGCUGAAAGACGGGCUCGAAAAAUAAACUCGCUAAAAAAGCUAUAAAGCUGACAAGUAAAUUUGAGCAACAUAUGUGAGUUAGAGUAUGGCAACUAAUGUGAAUAAAUGUGAAUACAUGUGAAUACAACUAUAUA